AACGUACGCUGGCGGCACGCCUAACACAUGCAAGUCGAACGAAGUAGCAAUACUUAGUGGCAGACGGGUGAGUAACAUGUAGGUAUCUGCCCUUUGGCCUGGAAUAACACGAGGAAACUUGUGCUAAUACCGGAUAAGUCUUUACGGAGAAAGCUUUAUGCACCAUUGGAUGAGCCUGCACUUGAUUAGUUUGUUGGUGGGGUAAUGGCCUACCAAGACUGUGAUCAAUAGCUGAUUUGAGAGGAUGAUCAGCCACAUUGGGACUGAGACACGGCCCAAACUCCUACGGGAGGCAGCAGUGGGGAAUCUUGCACAAUGGAGGAAACUCUGAUGCAGCGAUGCCGCGUGAGUGAAGAAGGCCCUUGGGUUGUAAAGCUCUUUCGUCGGGGAAGAAAAUGACUGUACCCGAAUAAGAAGGUCCGGCUAACUUCGUGCCAGCAGCCGCGGUAAUACGAAGGGACCUAGCGUAGCUCGGAAUUACUGGGCUUAAAGAGUUCGUAGGUGGUUGAAAAAGUUAGUGGUGAAAUCCCAGAGCUUAACUCUGGAACUGCCAUUAAAACUUUUCAGCUAGAGUAUGAUAGAGGAAAGCAGAAUUUCUAGUGUAGAGGUGAAAUUCGUAGAUAUUAGAAAGAAUACCAAUUGCGAAGGCAGCUUUCUGGAUCAUUACUGACACUGAGGAACGAAAGCAUGGGUAGCGAAGAGGAUUAGAUACCCUCGUAGUCCAUGCCGUAAACGAUGUGUGUUAGACGUUGGAAAUUUAUUUUCAGUGUCGCAGGGAAACCGAUAAACACACCGCCUGGGGAGUACGACCGCAAGGUUAAAACUCAAAUGAAUUGACGGGGACCCGCACAAGUAGUGGAGCAUGUGGUUUAAUUCGAAGAUACGCGCAGAACCUUACCAACACUUGACAUGUUCGUCGCGACUCUAAGAGAUUAGAGUCUUCGGUUCGGCCGGACGAAACACAGGUGCUGCAUGGCUGUCGUCAGCUCGUGUCGUGAGAUGUUGGGUUAAGUCCCGCAACGAGCGCAACCCUCACUUUUAGUUGCCAUCAUUAAGUUGGGCACUCUGAAAGAACUGCCAGUGAUAAGCUGGAGGAAGGUGGGGAUGACGUCAAGUCCUCAUGGCCCUUACGUGUUGGGCUACACACGUGCUACAAUGGUAUCUACAACAGGAAGCAAGACUGCGAAGUUAAGCAAAUCCCUAAAAGAUACCUCAGUUCGGAUUGCACUCUGCAACUCGAGUGCAUGAAGCUGGAAUUACUAGUAAUCGUGGAUCAGCGUGCCACGGUGAAUGCGUUCCCGGGUCU
rnacentral:rRNA from 1 species